UCAGAAAGGCUUUUAGAUUGACGCCUCCACCCCCACCCACCCAUCCCCCCGCGGCUCUUCUCUCCCUUCUUUUUCCUCUCUGUCAUCGCCGGCCACUCAACGACGAUCUCAAUCAUGGUAGAGAUCGAAGAAGCAUCCACCGGCGCCGAUGAGAUGUCUCCACUGUUAUCGAACCCGAAAACCGACCCGAUCCCGUCAACCCGGACUAAGUCUGUUAAGACCAAGGUCCCGGAGAUCAAGGUCCAUCUGUAUAAGCAAGGGAAGGGUCCGAUCGACGAAUUCACGUCGUCCUUAGGUGGAUUUGAGCAAGACCAGCUAGAGGUUCGUGAUAUUCUAGACAAAUACGGGUUCAAAUCGGUCUAUGCAUUCAAACCGGAGACUGGCCGAGGUGUUCCUAUCAGAUUCAAUCCCCGUAACGGACGAUCGAUUCUAACCUAUAGAGAUGGAUCGGAGAUCCAUAUUGAUGGAGAACCUAAGGACUCGUUGAUCCAACCUAUUACCAGGAUAUUGGUUGGUGUUGCAGUGAUCACCCUAUUGAUAGUAAUGGUGAUGAAAGAGUCUCCAGAAUGGGCCAAAAAGUUGAACAUCACUGGUGGUAAUAUCCCACCAUGGGUCCUGGCUGCUGCGGUUAUUCUGUUCACGCGCAUAAGGAAGAGGACCAAGGAUUUCUUUGGAAAACGCCCGUGAUGAACUGCUGCUUAACCACAGGGAUCUUUUAACAGCACUGGCUUGGUUGUCUCAUCAAAGCUGCCUAGAUUCUCCGACAUGUACACACUUACAGUAGAAAGUGCUGAUCCCAAGUCCAUUUCCGCGAGGCCAAAAGUUGAAUUUACCAAGAGCGUCACAAAAUGGUUUGCCGAAGAUGGAGUUCUAGUUGAGGGCCUAUUCUGGAAAGAUGUUGAAGCCUUAGUUAACGAUUAUGCUAAGGAACACAAAAAGAGCAAAUAGAUUCAAUUUCAAACAUUUUGAUAGGAAUGUGGAUGGCAUGGAUAGCCAAUGAGAUUGAAAACAUCGGUUUAUGACUUACUGGAUUAAUAUCAUCUAUAUCAUUGUUGAAGAAAAUUUAAUCCAAUUUUCAUCAUAGUUUUAUAUUUUGA